GACGAACGCUGGCGGCGUGCUUAACACAUGCAAGUCGAACGGAAAGGCCCUGAUUUUGUGGGGUGCUCGAGUGGCGCACGGGUGAGUAAAACGUGAGUAACCUGCCCUUGACUUUGGGAUAACUUCAGGAAACUGGGGCUAAUACCGGAUAGGAGAUCCUGCUGCAUGGUGGGGGUUGGAAAAUUUCGGCGGUUGGGGAUGGACUCGCGGCUUAUCAGCUUGUUGGUGGGGUAGUGGAGUACCAAGGCUUUGACGGGUAGCCGGCCUGAGAGGGUGACCGGCCACAUUGGGACUGAGAGACGGCCCAGACUCCUACGGGCGGCAGCAGUGGGGAAUAUUGCACAAUGGGCGGAAGCCUGAUGCAGCAACGCCGCGUGCGGGAUGACGGCCUUCGGGUUGUAAACCUCUUUCGCCUGUGACGAAGCGUGAUUGACGGUAAUGGGUCAAGAAGCACCGGCUAACUACGUG
rnacentral:rRNA from 1 species